GUCUACGGCCAUAUCACCCUGAAUGUGCCUGAUCUUGGAAGCUAAGCAGGGUCGGGCCUGGUUAGUACUUGGAUGGGAGAUGGGUGCUGUAGGAU
rnacentral:rRNA from 1 species